rnacentral:rRNA from 1 species
GACGAACGCUGGCGGCGUGCUUAACACAUGCAAGUCGUACGGAAAGGCCCUGCUUGCAGGGUACUCGAGUGGCGAACGGGUGAGUAACACGUGGGUGAUCUGCCCUGCACUUCGGGAUAAGCUUGGGAAACUGGGUCUAAUACCGGAUAGGCACCUUCUUUAGUGUGGGGGUUGGAAAGUUUUUUCGGUGUGGGAUGAGCUCGCGGCCUAUCAGCUUGUUGGUGGGGUAAUGGCCUACCAAGACGGCGACGGGUAGCCGGCCUGAGAGGGGGUACGGCCACAGUGGGACGUAGGUACCGCCCAGACUCCUACGGGAGGCAGCAGUGGGGAAUAUUGCACAAUGGGCGCAAGGCUGAAGCAGCGACGCCGCGGGGGGGAUGAAGGCCUUCGGGUUGUAAACUCCUUUCGAGAGGGACGAAGCUUUGUUGUGACGGUACCUAGAUAAGAAGCACCGGCUAACUACGUG